UGUGAAUACCACUUUGAAGAGGAACAAAUGGUGUUUUAAGAAUGCUGGCGUGGUAUGAAGACACAACCAUUUCUAAAAGUGGCAAAAUAAGGAAAUGAGAGGAAGAAAAGUCUUCUGACUUUUGUCUUCUGACAUUCAGAGAGAGCCUGUGGCAAGACUGGGGUGAGAACUGAGCUGCAGAUGCCAAAUCUAAGCCCUGUGUUUUAUGCGUUGAUCAGCACUGCUCAAGUCCCAAAGAAUGCUUGAAUACUUCUGCCCCAGUCCAGAAGUGUUGUCAUUCUGUGCAUACAACAGAAAUCUCCAGAGCAUGGGCACUGAACUUCCAUGUAAUACUUCUCUUUGUUUUGCCACUAGCCUUUAUGUGUGCCUGAAACUACUGUGGAUUCAGUGUGCAGACAGUGGAAUCCUGCCACCCAAAACAUAAUGGAAAAAGAGCAGAAUUUGCCCUUUAGUCAGUCCCUGACUGUACAACAUUGUUCCCAUAGACACCAUUCUGCUCUUUCCCCAUUGUAUCCAUAUUGUCACAAGUGAUAAGUGAAAAGCAUUCUUUUGUACAGAUGAAAAGAUUUAUUUCCCAAGCCUCCUUUCAGAUCUGAUUGUACAAUUUUCAUUGUAGAUGUGAUUACUGUGUAAAUACAAGAACUCUUCAUUCUAGAUUUUUGAUAGAAACAACCAUUACUC
ensembl:lncRNA